UAGGAUGAACGCUAGCUACAGGCUUAACACAUGCAAGUCGAGGGGCAGCAUGGUCUUAGCUUGCUAAGGCCGAUGGCGACCGGCGCACGGGUGAGUAACACGUAUCCAACCUGCCGUCUACUCUUGGACAGCCUUCUGAAAGGAAGAUUAAUACAAGAUGGCAUCAUGAGUCCGCAUGUUCACAUGAUUAAAGGUAUUCCGGUAGACGAUGGGGAUGCGUUCCAUUAGAUAGUAGGCGGGGUAACGGCCCACCUAGUCUUCGAUGGAUAGGGGUUCUGAGAGGAAGGUCCCCCACAUUGGAACUGAGACACGGUCCAAACUCCUACGGGAGGCAGCAGUGAGGAAUAUUGGUCAAUGGGCGCAGGCCUGAACCAGCCAAGUAGCGUGAAGGAUGACUGCCCUAUGGGUUGUAAACUUCUUUUAUAAAGGAAUAAAGUCGGGUAUGUAUACCCGUUUGCAUGUACUUUAUGAAUAAGGAUCGGCUAACUCCGUGCCAGCAGCCGCGGUAAUACGGAGGAUCCGAGCGUUAUCCGGAUUUAUUGGGUUUAAAGGGAGCGUAGAUGGAUGUUUAAGUCAGUUGUGAAAGUUUGCGGCUCAACCGUAAAAUUGCAGUUGAUACUGGAUAUCUUGAGUGCAGUUGAGGCAGGCGGAAUUCGUGGUGUAGCGGUGAAAUGCUUAGAUAUCACGAAGAACUCCGAUUGCGAAGGCAGCCUGCUAAGCUGCAACUGACAUUGAGGCUCGAAAGUGUGGGUAUCAAACAGGAUUAGAUACCCUGGUAGUCCACACGG
rnacentral:rRNA from 1 species